rnacentral:rRNA from 1 species
CCUACGGGGGGCUGCAGUCGAGAAUCAUUCACAAUGGUGGAAACCCUGAUGGUGCGACGCCGCGUGGGGGAAUGAAGGUCUUCGGAUUGUAAACCCCUGUCAUGUGGGAGCAAAUUAUAAAGAUAGUACCACAAUAGGAAGAGACGGCUAACUCGGUGCCAGCAGCCGCGGUAAUACAGAGGUCUCAAGCGUUGUUCGGGAUCACUGGGCUUAAAGCGUGCGUAUGCUGUUGCGUAAGUCGUGUGUGAAAGGCGCGGGCUCAACCCGCGGACGGCACAUGAUACUGCGAGACUAGAGUAAUGGAGGGGGAAGCGGAAUUCGCGGUGUAGCAGUGAAAUGCGUAGAUAUCGAGAGGAACACUCGUGGCGAAGGCGGGUUCCUGGAC